AGAGUUUGAUCAUGGCUCAGAUUGAACGCUGGCGGCAGGCUUAACACAUGCAAGUCGAGCGGGGAAAAGUAGCUUGCUACUUGACCUAGCGGCGGACGGGUGAGUAAUGCUUAGGAAUCUGCCUAUUAGUGGGGGACAACAUCUCGAAAGGGAUGCUAAUACCGCAUACGUCCUACGGGAGAAAGCAGGGGACCUUCGGGCCUUGCGCUAAUAGAUGAGCCUAAGUCGGAUUAGCUAGUUGGUGGGGUAAAGGCCUACC
rnacentral:rRNA from 1 species